rnacentral:rRNA from 1 species
UGCUGGAGGUAUCAGAAGUGCGAAUGCUGACAUAAGUAACGAUAAAGCGGGUGAAAAGCCCGCUCGCCGGAAGACCAAGGGUUCCUGUCCAACGUUAAUCGGGGCAGGGUGAGUCGACCCCUAAGGCGAGGCCGAAAGGCGUAGUCGAUGGGAAACGGGUUAAUAUUCCCGUACUUGGUGUUACUGCGAAGGGGGGACGGAGAAGGCUAUGUUGGCCGGGCGACGGUUGUCCCGGUUUAAGCGUGUAGGUGUGUGUUCCAGGUAAAUCCGGUUCACUUUAACACUGAGGCGUGACGACGAGGCACUACGGUGCUGAAGCAACAAAUGCCCUGCUUCCAGGAAAAGCCUCUAAGCAUCAGGUAACACGAAAUCGUACCCCAAACCGACACAGGUGGUCAGGUAGAGAAUACCAAGGCGCUUGAGAGAACUCGGGUGAAGGAACUAGGCAAAAUGGUGCCGUAACUUCGGGAGAAGGCACGCUGACACGUAGGUGAAGUGAUUUACUCAUGGAGCUGAAGUCAGUCGAAGAUACCAGCUGGCUGCAACUGUUUAUUAAAAACACAGCACUGUGCAAACACGAAAGUGGACGUAUACGGUGUGACGCCUGCCCGGUGCCGGAAGGUUAAUUGAUGGGGUCAGCGCAAGCGAAGCUCCUGAUCGAAGCCCCGGUAAACGGCGGCCGUAACUAUAACGGUCCUAAGGUAGCGAAAUUCCUUGUCGGGUAAGUUCCGACCUGCACGAAUGGCGUAAUGAUGGCCAGGCUGUCUCCACCCGAGACUCAGUGAAAUUGAACUCGCUGUGAAGAUGCAGUGUACCCGCGGCAAGACGGAAAGACCCCGUGAACCUUUACUAUAGCUUGACACUGAACAUUGAGCCUUGAUGUGUAGGAUAGGUGGGAGGCUUUGAAGUGUGGACGCCAGUCUGCAUGGAGCCGACCUUGAAAUACCACCCUUUAAUGUUUGAUGUUCUAACGUGGACCCGUAAUCCGGGUUGCGGACAGUGUCUGGUGGGUAGUUUGACUGGGGCGGUCUCCUCCUAAAGAGUAACGGAGGAGCACGAAGGUUGGCUAAUCCUGGUCGGACAUCAGGAGGUUAGUGCAAUGGCAUAAGCCAGCUUGACUGCGAGCGUGACGGCGCGAGCAGGUGCGAAAGCAGGUCAUAGUGAUCCGGUGGUUCUGAAUGGAAGGGCCAUCGCUCAACGGAUAAAAGGUACUCCGGGGAUAACAGGCUGAUACCGCCCAAGAGUUCAUAUCGACGGCGGUGUUUGGCACCUCGAUGUCGGCUCAUCACAUCCUGGGGCUGAAGUAGGUCCCAAGGGUAUGGCUGUUCGCCAUUUAAAGGGGUACGCGAGCUGGGUUUAGAACGUCGUGAGACAGUUCGGUCCCUAUCUGCCGUGGGCGCUGGAGAACUGAGGGGGGCUGCUCCUAGUACGAGAGGACCGGAGUGGACGCAUCACUGGUGUUCGGGUUGUCAUGCCAAUGGCACUGCCCGGUAGCUAAAUGCGGAAGAGAUAAGUGCUGAAAGCAUCUAAGCACGAAACUUGCCCCGAGAUGAGUUCUCCCUGAGACUUAGAGUCUCCUGAAGGAACGUUGAAGACGACGACGUUGAUAGGCCGGGUGUGUAAGCGCAGCGAUGCGUUGAGCUAACCGGUACUAAUGAACCGUGAGGCUUAACCUU